ACACCUGCAACACAAGUGAUGGCCACUCUUAUUGGGCUUAAAGCGUUCGUAGCCGGUCUUGUAAGUCCUUGGUGAAAUCGUUGCCCUCAAGGUAACGGCGUGCUGAGGAUACUGCAAGACUAGGGACCGGGAGGGGUCGGAGGUAUGCCUUGGGUAGGGGUGAAAUCCUGUAAUCCUUGGUAGACCACCGGUGGCGAAAGCGUCCGACUGGAACGGGUCCGACGGUCAGGAACGAAAGCUAGGGUAGCAAAGCGGAUUAGAAACCCCAGUAGUCC
rnacentral:rRNA from 1 species